AGACAUUGUUCUUUCUAUGCUUGCUGUUGUAAUGUAACAUUUUCAUCUUUGGUAGCUUCUUUUACAUAAAACAGUGAGUUCAGGUUAAUAUUUCCUCUAUUAUUAGCAAAGAGUAUUGAUUGGAGUAGGUAUUUGAUACUGGAAUACUGAUGUUAGAUCACCUGAGUGUUUCUUGCUCGAGUAUCUGUCUAAAUCGACUUCUUUUCUGAUUAGAUUGCAUUUGAAUUUGGAAUUUGAGACCUAGUGAAUUUGCAGAUGAUCUGAAGUCCUUUAAGUUCACUUGAAUGGUUUUGACGAUGGUGCUAAGGAAGCACUCUGAGGAAGCUGCUAGGCACCAACGUUCUGUUGGCCAAAGUGUGGAGACAGCUGAACCCUGCACUCAGAACUGACUGGAUGACUGUGAUUUGUGGCAUGGAGUGGAGAUGUUCCGAAUACCUUGUAGCCUGUGCGUGAAGUUCUGAGGUCCAUAUCCCAUAGAGCUGAGGAAGGCUUCUCGUGGCUCCUCUCAUAGCCUGUGCAGUCUGCAGACAAUGGAUUGAUUUGAGCUUGCCUUCCUUCGGCUGGCUGACAAGGCCCUUCAGCUUUGAGUCCAUGGGAUCUGCCUGGGUAUGGCACUGUCUUGAGAAAGAGCUGCUGCCAGUUUUUUUGUUUUCCCUGCUGCAAGCUACCUAGAAGCCAGAUUUUCAAGACAAGGAUGUGCAAGUCCAUGUAAGCUGUGUAUUACACAGCAACAGAAACGUUUCUGCACGCUGCGUGGAAAAAAUAAUGUUCUUCUGCAGAGAAGGAGCACGUGUUGUGUUGGAAGGAGCUUCACAGAUCAUCAGAUAAUCUCAGAUUUAUAUUCUUCUGCUAUUAUGAAAUACUUUGUAGUCUGUUUAAUAUUUUGUUGUGUCAAAUUUAAAUACAUUUGUCUAGAAGAUGUCAUUUAACAAUGGAAUGUGAUUGACUGUUUGGAACCUUAAAUAACUGAUAAAAUGGCACAGAGGAGGUGAAAGCAGAUAACUGAUACAGCCAAGCUGUUAGUAGAGUCAAUACAAAAUGUGUCUGGAUGUGGGCAGGGACAUUUUUAUAAGGCUUUUACAGCAAAGAAGAAUUAUGUGAUUAGGAAGCUAGGGUCAAGAGUAUGACCCUAGAGUACGACAAGUUGCAUGACGUGAAUGCAGAGAAGAGAAUUGCUGUUGUAAACAGCAGGCCAAAGGGAAGAGUGACAGCACCUGAAGAACUAUAGUAGUCUAAUCUAGCAAAUCAGUUAGGUCUGUCGUCUUGAUAUGAAAUAUGAAAAUAAAUUUUCAGAGAUCCUUGUGAUCUUAAUCUAA
rnacentral:lncRNA from 1 species